rnacentral:rRNA from 1 species
UACGUAGGGGGCAAGCGUUGUCCGGAAUCAUUGGGCGUAAAGCGCGGGCAGGCGGCCCGCUCAGUCGGCCGUGAAAGCGCCGGGCUCAACUCGGCGAGGUCGGGCGAUACUGGCGGGCUCGAGGCUGGUAGAGGGCGGUGGAAUUCCGGGUGUAGUGGUGGAAUGCGUAGAGCUCCGGAGGAACACCAGUGGCGAAGGCGGCCGCCUGGGCCAGUCCUGACGCUGAGCCGCGAAAGCGUGGGGAGCGAUCCGG